CGCUGGCGGCAUGCUUUACACAUGCAAGUCGGACGGCAGCACAGAGAAGCUUGCUUCUUGGGUGGCGAGUGGCGAACGGGUGAGUAACGCAUCGGAACGUACCGAGUAGUGGGGGAUAACUGUCCGAAAGGAUGGCUAAUACCGCAUACGCUUUGAGAAGGAAAGCGGGGGAUCUUCGGACCUCGCGCUAUUCGAGCGGCCGAUGUCUGAUUAGCUAGUUGGUGGGGUAAGGGCCUACCAAGGCGACGAUCAGUAGCGGGUCUGAGAGGAUGAUCCGCCACACUGGGACUGAGACACGGCCCAGACUCCUACGGGAGGCAGCAGUGGGGAAUUUUGGACAAUGGGCGCAAGCCUGAUCCAGCCAUGCCGCGUGUCUGAAGAAGGCCUUCGGGUUGUAAAGGACUUUUGUCAGGGAAGAAAAGCUUUGGGUUAAUACCCUGGAGUGAUGACGGUACCUGAAGAAUAAGCACCGGCUAACUACGUGCCAGCAGCC
rnacentral:rRNA from 1 species